AACAAAAACUGUCGUCAAAUGAUCACAGCCUAAAACAACACGCUGUUCAGAUGUGGUGUUUAGCUAUCCAUCUACCACAGAUCAUUGGUAAUUUGAUUUCCCCAGAAAAUACCAAGUGGAAGCUUUUUCUUAAACUGCUGGAAAUAACAGCUAUCUGCCUUUCACCUGUGGUAUCGCAAGAACAAAUUGCAUACCUUCAAGUACUCAUUGAAGAACACCAUAGUGAGUUUUGUCACCUCUACCCGGAGAGUUCCAUCAUCCCGAAAAUGCACUUUAUGAUCCAUAUGCCGAGUGUUAUGUUGAGUCUCGGACCACUUGCUCGAUCUUGGUGUAUGAGAUAUGAGGCUAAACACCACUAUUUUAAGAAACUGAGCACAAUAAUUGGCAACUUCACCAACCUGCCAUACACUUUAGCAAUGCGCCACCAACAAUGGAUCUCUUAUAAGCUGAACUCUUCUGGAAACUAUGAAUCCUCAUUUCUUGAAAAGGGUAUAGAAAUUGGACCAGGCGACACAGUUUCAGCUGGGGAUCUGUUAUAUUACAAUACCCUGAAACAGGCACAAGAACAAUUAG